rnacentral:rRNA from 1 species
UACGUAGGGUGCAAGCGUUGUCCGGAAUUAUUGGGCGUAAAGAGCUCGUAGGCGGUCUGUUACGUCGGCUGUGAAAACCUGGGGCUUAACCCUGGGCUUGCAGUGGGUACGGGCAGACUAGAGUGCGGUAGGGGAGACUGGAAUUCCUGGUGUAGCGGUGAAAUGCGCAGAUAUCAGGAGGAACACCGAUGGCGAAGGCAGGUCUCUGGGCAUUAACUGACGCUGAGGAGCGAAAGCAUGGGGAGCGAACAGG